UGGGGAAUUUUGGACAAUGGGCGAAAGCCUGAUCCAGCAAUGCCGCGUGUGUGAAGAAGGCCUUCGGGUUGUAAAGCACUUUUGUCCGGAAAGAAAUCCUUGGCUCUAAUACAGUCGGGGGAUGACGGUACCGGAAGAAUAAGCACCGGCUAACUACGUGCCAGCAGCCGCGGUAAUACGUAGGGUGCAAGCGUUAAUCGGAAUUACUGGGCGUAAAGCGUGCGCAGGCGGUUUGCUAAGACCGAUGUGAAAUCCCCGGGCUCAACCUGGGAACUGCAUUGGUGACUGGCAGGCUAGAGUAUGGCAGAGGGGGGUAGAAUUCCACGUGUAGCAGUGAAAUGCGUAGAGAUGUGGAGGAAUACCGAUGGCGAAGGCAGCCCCCUGGCCAAGUACUGACGCUCAUGCACGAAAGCGUGGGGAGCAAACNGGAUUAAUACCCUGGUAGUCCACGCCCUAAANGAUGUCAACUAGUUGUUGGGGAUUCAUUUUCCUUAGUAACGUAGCUAACGCGUGAAGUUGACCGCCUGGGGAGUACGGUCGCAAGAUUAAAACUCAAAGAAUUGACGGGGUCAUGCUGUUUCCU
rnacentral:rRNA from 1 species